UUUGACCACCACUUCACUCUCUCUUUCCUUCUAUCUUCCUUCUUCUCUUCCUUCCUGUCUCUCUUCACAAAUGAAUGACAACUACUACUACUAUUAUAUAUUAUCCUCAUCCUCAUGCACAUGCUCUUCAUCUCUCAACAUUUCCUUUAACCAUUCUCAAUCAUGGGCACUUGCUUUUCUGCCACCAAAAUCAGUGGCUCCAACAACACCAAGGCCGCCACUAAAGUGACUACGAAGCCGCAACCGGAGCCGUCCAACCACCAACAACGACAGAGAGCGCCGUCGCACAGCGCGAGUACCAGGCACGCGCCGUACGGGAAGCGCGUCGAUUUCGGUUACGAGAAGGACUUCGAUAAGCGUUACUCGCUCGGGAAGUUGUUAGGACACGGCCAAUUCGGUUACACUUAUGUCGGAAUAGACAAAGCCGAUGGGGAUCGUGUGGCCGUUAAGAGGCUCGAGAAGAAUAAGAUGGUUCUCCCUGUAGCUGUUGAGGAUGUUAAGAGAGAGGUUAAGAUAUUGAAAGCACUUGCGGGCCACGAGAAUGUGGUUCAGUUCUAUAAUGCUUUUGAUGAUGAUUCUUAUGUGUACAUAGUUAUGGAAUUAUGCGAGGGUGGAGAACUGCUAGAUCGGAUAUUGUCUAAGAAGGACAGCCGUUAUAGUGAAAAAGAUGCGGCGGUGGUUGUAAGGCAGAUGUUGAAGGUUGCAGCUGAGUGUCAUUUAAAUGGCUUGGUACACCGGGACAUGAAACCAGAGAAUUUUCUUUUCAAAUCAACCAAAGUAGAUUCACAUUUGAAGGCUACAGAUUUUGGCUUGUCAGAUUUCAUAAAACCUGGAAAGAAGUUUCAUGAUAUUGUUGGCAGUGCUUACUAUGUUGCACCCGAAGUGCUAAAACGCAAGUCAGGCCCUCAGUCAGAUGUGUGGAGUAUUGGUGUUAUUACAUACAUAUUGCUAUGUGGGAGACGCCCAUUUUGGGAUAAGACUGAGGAUGGUAUCUUCAGGGAGGUCUUACGUAACAAGCCUGAUUUCCGCCGGAAACCGUGGCCAACUAUAAGUAAUGCUGCAAAAGAUUUUGUGAAGAAGUUGUUGGUAAAGGAUCCUCGGGCAAGAUUAACUGCUGCUCAAGCUCUAUCACAUCCAUGGGUUAGAGAAGGAGGAGAAGCACUGGAGAUUCCUAUUGAUAUAUCUGUCCUGAGCAACAUGCGGCAGUUUGUGAAGUAUAGUCGAUUGAAACAAUUCGCUCUGAGGGCAUUGGCUGGAACACUUAAUGAAGAAGAGUUGGGUAUUUUGAAAGAUCAAUUUGAUGCAAUUGAUGUGGACAAAAAUGGUUCUAUCAGCCUGGAAGAGAUGAGACAGGCUCUUGCUAAAGAUCUUCCUUGGAAGUUGAAAGAAUCACGUGUACUAGAGAUAUUGCAAGCGAUAGACAGCAAUACAGAUGGACUCGUGGAUUUCACUGAGUUCGUGGCAGCUACAUUGCAUGUGCACCAAUUGGAGGAACAUGACUCUGAUAAGUGGCAGCAACGGUCACAGGCUGCUUUUGAGAAAUUUGACCUAGAUAAGGAUGGAUAUAUUACUCCGGAAGAACUUAGAAUGCAUACUGGCUUGAGAGGUUCCAUUGAUCCUCUGCUCGAGGAAGCUGAUAUUGACAAAGAUGGGAAAAUCAGCCUACCAGAAUUUCGUAGACUUCUAAGAACUGCAAGCAUGAGCUCUCAAAAUCUGACAAGCCCAACUGGCUAUCGGCGGAGGAUCUAAGAUUAGAGGUGUUUCAGUGGUGGAGUUCCUCUAAGAUCAUCUCCUGUGCGAUUGCGCUAAAGCCCUUAAGAUUAUCAUCUUUUAUGCAGAUUUUACUCACUCAUCUGCUCUGGCAAUAUAUGAAACUCAAAACUUCAGUUAUUGACUGUGGCAUCCCCAGCACGGGGAUUAUGUUCAUGAUGUCUUGAGAACUUUGUCAAGAGGUGUUUGGGAGUUUGUUGUGGACCCUGCGUGGAUUGGAUUCAGAAAGCAAUUGCACCCUGCUGUUCUUACUAGAUACUAAUGAUUGAAUACAUUUGAGGUACUAAUUGGAGUCUGAAAUGUAAUUAUAAAUUGUUCUCUUCUGCUGAAGAAUUAGUGUGGGCGAUAUUGUGAUUGUGGAGUGAUGACAUGAGAGUAGUUGAUGUCUUUGAUGACUUGCAUCGGAGGUCACUCGUGGGUAUGUGCGGUUGCUUAUUUUAUUAUCGUGAUAUGGCAGGUUUUCCUUUGUAAUAGUAAUCGGAGUGAGAAGUAGCUAGGACUUGCCCAUUUUACAAACAACGUUUGUUACAUCAUAUUAUGUUCUAGCCUCGUAUGCAAAAUAACAUAGUUUCCUUUUUAUGAGCAGUUCAUUUCUGAAAAGUAUGCUUUAAGGUAAACUCUCUUGAGAAAGAAUCUGAAUUUUCUCAUUUUAUUGAAUAGUAGGAGUUGACUUGUUAGAGAGAUAAUUAAAGACACGAUUAAUUUUAAGCAUAACUAGUAGAUCUUAUAAGCUACCGUGAUGGAUUCUUGCAUUAUAAAGUUUGUUUAUUCCUAUCCAAGAAGGUUUUCCUUAUAAUGUGUUUGUUACCUAC